AGAACGAACGCUGGCGGCAGGCUUAACACAUGCAAGUCGAGCGCGGUCUUUCGGGACUGAGCGGCGGACGGGUGAGUAACGCGUGGGAACGUGCCCUUUUCUCCGGAAUAGCCCAUGGAAACGUGGAUUAAUGCCGGAUACGCCCAUUUAUGGAGACAUGAUUGGGGAAAGAUUUAUCGGAGAAGGAUCGGCCCGCGUUGGAUUAGGUAGUUGGUGGGGUAAUGGCCUACCAAGCCGACGAUCCAUAGCUGGUUUGAGAGGAUGAUCAGCCACACUGGGACUGAGACACGGCCCAGACUCCUACGGGAGGCAGCAGUGGGGAAUCUUGGACAAUGGGGGCAACCCUGAUCCAGCCAUGCCGCGUGAGCGAUGAAGGCCUUAGGGUUGUAAAGCUCUUUCAGCGGGAAGAUAAUGACGGUACCCGCAGAAGAAGCCCCGGCUAACUCCGUGCCAGCAGCCGC
rnacentral:rRNA from 1 species